AUACGUAGGGGGCGAGCGUUGUCCGGAAUGAUUGGGCGUAAAGGGCGCGUAGGCGGCCCGGUAAGUCUGGAGUGAAAGUCCUGUUUUUAAGAUGGGAAUUGCUUUGGAUACUGUCGGGCUUGAGUGCAGGAGAGGUAAGUGGAAUUCCCAGUGUAGCGGUGAAAUGCGUAGAGAUUGGGAGGAACACCAGUGGCGAAGGCGACUUACUGGACUGUAACUAACGCUGAGGCGCGAAAGUGUGGGGAGCAAACAGGAUUAGAUACCCUGGUAGUCCACACUGUAAACGAUGAAUGCUAGGUGUAGGGGGUAUCGACCCCUUCUGUGCCGCAGUCAACACAAUAAGCAUUCCGCCUGGGGAGUACGGCCGCAAGGUUGAAACUCAAAGGAAUUGACGGGG
rnacentral:rRNA from 1 species